AAGUCUGACGGAGCAACGCCGCGUGAGUGAUGAAGGUUUUCGGAUCGUAAAACUCUGUUGUUAGGGAAGAACAAGUACGAGAGUAACUGCUCGUACCUUGACGGUACCUAACCAGAAAGCCACGGCUAACUACGUGCCAGCAGCCGCGGUAAUACGUAGGUGGCAAGCGUUGUCCGGAAUUAUUGGGCGUAAAGCGCGCGCAGGCGGUCCUUUAAGUCUGAUGUGAAAGCCCACGGCUCAACCGUGGAGGGUCAUUGGAAACUGGGGGACUUGAGUGCAGAAGAGAAGAGUGGAAUUCCACGUGUAGCGGUGAAAUGCGUAGAGAUGUGGAGGAACACCAGUGGCGAAGGCGACUCUUUGGUCUGUAACUGACGCUGAGGCGCGAAAGCGUGGGGAGCAAACAGGAUUAGAUACCCUGGUAGUCCACGCCGUAAACGAUGAGUGCUAAGUGUUAGAGGGUUUCCGCCCUUUAGUGCUGCAGCAAACGCAUUAAGCACUCCGCCUG
rnacentral:rRNA from 1 species